rnacentral:rRNA from 1 species
GACGAACGCUGGCGGCGUGCUUAACACAUGCAAGUCGAACGGGAAGUCCCUGCUUUUGUGGGGUGCUCGAGUUGCGAACGGGUGAGUAACACGUGAGUAACCUGCCCUUGACUUUGGGAUAUCUUCAUGACGCUGGAGGUAAUACCGGAUAGGAGCUCCUGCUGCUUGGUGGGGGUUGGUAGGUUUCGGCGGUUGGGGAUGGACUCGCCGCGUAUCAGAUUGUUGGUUGGGUAGUGUCUUAGCAUGGCUUUGACGCGUAGCCGGCCUGAGCGGGUGACCGGCCACAUUACGACUGAGCUACGGCACAGACUACACCGGGAGGCAGCAGAGGAGUGUAUAGCACAGUGGGAGGAAGCAUGAUGUAGUAACGCCGCGUGCGGGAAGACGGCCAGCGGGUUGUAAAGCGAAUUCGUCUGUGACGAAGCGUGAGUGACGGUAAUGGGUAAAGAAGCACCGGCUAACUACGUG